rnacentral:rRNA from 1 species
UACAGAGGGUGCGAGCGUUGUUCGGAAUUACUGGGCGUAAAGCGCGCGCAGGCGGCCUUUUAAGUCUACCCGUGAAAUGCCGGAGCUCAACUCCGUGCACGCCGGGGGAUACUGGGAGGCUGGAGACAGGUAGAGGCAAGCGGAAUUCCGGGUGUAGCGGUGGAAUGCGUAGAUAUCCGGAAGAACACCUGAGGCGAAGGCGGCUUGCUGGGCCUGAUCUGACGCUGAGGAGCGAAAGCCAGGGGAGCAAACGGG